UACGUAGGGGGCAAGCGUUGUCCGGAAUCAUUGGGCGUAAAGCGCGCGUAGGCGGUCCGGUAAGUCAGCUGUGAAAGUCAGGGGCUCAACCCUUGAAAGCCGGUUGAUACUGUCGGGCUAGAGUCCGGAAGAGGCGAGUGGAAUUCCUGGUGUAGCGGUGAAAUGCGCAGAUAUCAGGAGGAACACCGGUGGCGAAGGCGGGUCUCUGGGCCGAAACUGACGCUGAGGAGCGAAAGCGUGGGGAGCAAACAGG
rnacentral:rRNA from 1 species